GCUCACUUGUCUUUUUUUUUUUUUUUGACCCCCCAGUGCUUAGCAUAUACUGGGAGCCAAGUCAAUGCUUUUGGAAGAAUGGAGUCACCAUGGAAUUGCGAAACAGCAAAAGCUGGUUCAGGCAGGCAAGCAGCUGGAACCAGGAAAUGGUUAAAGGCAGGAGGAAUCCACUUCACUCUGGGCUGGUCGCCAUCUGCUUCCGGCCUUCCUGUCCCUCCCACGGUGGACGGUGGACGCAGGCUUCCUGCAGACUGGGAGGGGGUCUGAGCGGGAGAGUCAGAAACCCAGCAGUGAAGGGGCUCCCUGAGCCCCAUAUGAGGGCGUUCAGAAAAGUGGGUCAGUAUCGAGGGACUUCUGACUCGCUUUGUGAGAAAGACCAGACCCAGCUAUCGAACCUAAGAAGGUAGAAGAAAAGCCCUUCCUCGCCUACACGGGAGCCUCCAGAUCCAAGACUGCUGGUGGGUGAUCUGAGGCCACCUUUACUCCUGCUGUGAAUUCCUUCAAGUUGCUGCAAAUGCUUCUAAGUUCUCUCUCAGAACCUGAUAGAAGGAAGGCAGGAGAGAUGGAGAGAGCCCUGUACUAGGUAUGAAGUGGUCUGCCUUUCUCCCCACUCUUCAGUUAAGUGGGUCAACUUGGGGCAAAUCUCAUAACCCCUCUAGGCUGUCAUUUCCUCCUCUGUAAGAAAGACAAGGAGAUCCAACCCGUCCAUCCUAAAGGAGAUCAGUCCUGAACAGUCAUCAGAAGGACUGAUGGUGAAGUUGAAACUCCAAUACUUUGGCCACCUGAUGCGAAGAGCUGAUUCAUUUGAAAAGACCCUGAUGCUGGGAAAGAUUGAAGGCAGGAGGAGAAGGGGACGACAGAGGAUGAGAUAGUUGGAUGGCAUCACUGACUCAAUGGGCAUGAGUUUGGGUAAGCUCCGGGAGUUGGUGAUGGACAGGGAGGCCUGGCGUGCUGCAGUCCGUGGGGUCUCAAAGAGUCAGACACGACUGAAUGACUGAACUGAACUGAACUGAAGAAGGGCAGAGGUGGGAAGCCUAGAUUGAGUCACUGCUCUAAUCGUUUACUGCUGAAAACGCAGUGAGCCAAUUGCUGAGACUUUGGGGUGAGCAAGAGACAGGAUUUGUUGCAUGAUGAUUUGUACUAUCAUCCUGUUGAAUAACUGGCUGGAUACCUACUUGAUACUGUUUCCCUCGCUUUCUUUACUUAAAUGAUCUACUCUCUAAUUGCUUUUCUUCUCUUAAGUGGGUAUUAAGGAGAUAUCCAAUUUUUUCUCUCUUGGCUUAUAGCCACGGCUUCUUGUCCCAGAGGUUUCUGAGCCUGUGAAUAAUUAUCUGGCUUAAGUAAGGGAUGCCCUGAAGGUAAUAGCAUACAAGGUUGCUCAAGGUUCAGGUUUGCUUUUACUUCCUAUGUAACACUCUCUCCUCUAAAACCUUCUACAGUGAUAAUAUUACCUCCAAUAUCAUUUUACAUUUCCACAGAAAUUUUUCCUAGAAUAUCUUUCUUGUUACUUACACCAGGAUCCAUACAGGCUUUAGCAAGGAAAAAGGACAAGUGAACGUCCUCAGUUAUGUUGGAGGGGUUCCUCAAAGCUGCUUUCUAACUCGACCAUUUCAUUUUCCAAUAUUUGUGGCAAAUAUAUAGGAAGAAUUGAUUUUUGUAUGUUGACCAUGAAUCCUAGAGUUUUGCCUAACUCACUGAUUAGAUUUUUUAAUAUUUAUUUAGUAUUUUGUAUUUAUUUGGCUGAGUCGGGUCUUAGUUGCUGCGUGUAGGAUCUUUCAUCUUAGUUGCAGCACAUAGGACCUUGUUCUCUGACCAGGGAUCAGACCCUGGCCCCCUGCAUUGGGAGCAUGCAGUCUUAACCGCUGGACCACUAGGGAAGUCCCUGAUUAGCUUUAGUAGAUUGCAAAUCCCUUUGAAUCUUGUGUCUACAACAUCUUGUCCAUAAAUAAUACUUUUAUUUUUUUAAUUUUCAAACAAUGUGCUUUUUAUUUCUUUUUUCCCAUGACUGUACAUACUUGAACCUCCAAUAUAAUGUUGAAUAUAAGUAGUAAUAGCAAACAUUUUCAUCUUAUCUAUUCCUAGAGGAAAAAGCAUUCAAUAUGUCACAGUUCAGAAUUUCAUGGAUUAGCUGCAAGCUUUUCAGAUACUUUAUCAAAUGGAGGGAGUUUCCUUCUAUUCCUACUUUACUGAGUGUUUUUGUCAUGAACAGGUAUUGAAUUUCACUGAGUGACUUUUCUGAAUUUAUUGAGAUUAAUCAUACGGUUUUAGUCCUUUAUUUUGCUAGUGAUUUUCUGUUAACUAUAGC
ensembl:lncRNA